rnacentral:antisense_RNA from 1 species
GUGAAUGUCUCCCUGAGGAAUUCUACCUGGAGUCACUUUCUCUUCCAGUGAGACCCUGAGUUUUGAGAUGGUACAAGGCAGAAUGUUAAUUAAGUGCUAUAUUCAAAGUGAAAGUACCAGGAAAAUUCGGAAAAGGGAUAAAGAGCUGAGUUUGUCCUGGUAUAGGCAAGAAAGCCUUCGAAGUGGUGGUGGUGAAAUAAUUCGAACGUCUCCCUGGUGUUCCUUCUCCCUAACCCAUCUAUUUCAAGGUAGGGUCUCUCUCUGUUACCCAGGCUGGAGUGCAGAGGUGGGAUCACAGGUCACUGCAACCUUGACCUCCUGGGCUCAAGUGAUUCUCUCACCUCAGCCUCCCAAGUAGCUGGGACUAUGGGCACAUGCUACCACUUCUGGCUAAUUUUUUAAUUUUGAAAGUUUUUGUAGAGAUGGGGGUCUCACCAUGUUGCCCAGGCUCAUCUCAAACUCCUGGGUUCAAGCAGUCUUCCUGCCUCAGACUCCUAAAUUGCUGGGAUUACAGGCAUGAGCUACUGUACCUGGCCAACAGCUCUCUUAAGGUAUAACUGAUGUACAAUUAACUCUACAUAUUUAAAUUGUACAACUUGAACAACUUGAAUGAGUUUUGAUAUAUGUAUACACCUGUGAAACCAUCACCACAAUCAAGAUGACAAGUAUUUCCAUCACCCCAGAAUUUCCUCAUGCCCCUUUUUUAUCCUUCCUUCAUUCCUGUUCCCAGGCAUCCACUGAUCUGCUUCUGUCACUGUAGAUUAAUUUGCAUUUUCUAGAAUUUUAUAUAAAUGGAAUCAUACAGUA